rnacentral:rRNA from 1 species
GGGGAAUAUUGCACAAUGGGCGGAAGCCUGAUGCAGCGACGCCGCGUGGGGGAUGACGGCCUUCGGGUUGUAAACCUCUUUCAGCACCGACGAAGCGGGAGUGACGGUAGGUGCAGAAGAAGCGCCGGCCAACUACGUGCCAGCAGCCGCGGUAAGACGUAGGGCGCGAGCGUUGUCCGGAUUUAUUGGGCGUAAAGAGCUCGUAGGCGGCUUGUCGCGUCGUCCGUGAAAACUGGGGGCUCAGCCCUCAGCUUGCGGUCGAUACGGGCAGGCUGGAGUUCGGUAGGGGAGACUGGAAUUCCUGGUGUAGCGGUGAAAUGCGCAGAUAUCAGGAGGAACACCGGUGGCGAAGGCGGUUCUCUGGGCAUGUCCUGACGCUGAGGAGCGAAAGUGUGGGGAGCGAAC